rnacentral:rRNA from 1 species
GACGAACGCUGGCGGCGUGCCUAAUACAUGCAAGUCGAGCGAAGUUUUUCUGGUGCUUGCACCGGAAAAACUUAGCGGCGAACGGGUGAGUAACACGUAAAGAACCUGCCUCAUAGACUGGGACAACUAUUGGAAACGAUAGCUAAUACCGGAUAAUAGCAUUAACUGCAUGGUUGAUGUUUAAAAGUUGGUUUUGCUAACACUAUGAGAUGGCUUUGCGGUGCAUUAGCUAGUUGGUGGGGUAAAGGCCUACCAAGGCGACGAUGCAUAGCCGACCUGAGAGGAUGAUCGGCCACACUGGGACUGAGACACGGCCCAGACUCCUACGGGAGGCAGCAGUAGGGAAUCUUCCGCAAUGGGCGAAAGCCUGACGGAGCAACGCCGCGUGAGUGAAGAAGGAUUUCGGUUCGUAAAGCUCUGUUGUUAGGGAAGAAUGAUUGUGUAGUAACUAUACACAGUAGAGACGGUACCUAACCAGAAAGCCACGGCUAACUACGUG